rnacentral:rRNA from 1 species
UACGGAGGGAGCUAGCGUUAUUCGGAAUUACUGGGCGUAAAGCGCACGUAGGCGGCUUUGUAAGUUAGAGGUGAAAGCCUGGAGCUCAACUCCAGAACUGCCUUUAAGACUGCAUCGCUUGAAUCCAGGAGAGGUGAGUGGAAUUCCGAGUGUAGAGGUGAAAUUCGUAGAUAUUCGGAAGAACACCAGUGGCGAAGGCGGCUCACUGGGCUGGUAUUGACGCUGAGGUGCGAAAGCGUGGGGAGCAAACAGG